rnacentral:rRNA from 1 species
UACGUAGGGACCGAGCGUUGUCCGGAUUCAUUGGGCGUAAAGAGCUCGUAGGCGGCUUGUCAAGUCGAACGUGAAAACUCGGAGCUCAACUCCGGGCCUGCGUUCGAUACUGGACGGCUAGAGUCUGGUAGGGGGAUCUGGAAUUCCUGGUGUAGCGGUGGAAUGCGCAGAUAUCAGGAGGAACACCCGUGGCUAAGGCGGUUCUCUAGUACGGUACUGACGCUGAGACGCGAAAGCGUGGGGAGCGAACAGG